rnacentral:lncRNA from 1 species
CUCCUGCAGGCUGCGUGAGUGUUCCUUGUUCCUGUGUGGUGCUUCCAAGGGAGAGGAGGCCAGGAAGCCUGGACUGACCUGACUCAGGAGGAAAGGAAACCAGAUGUGCACAUUUCAAUCGGAUGAUCCCUCCAUAGCUCCAAGGAGAGAAACGGA